rnacentral:rRNA from 1 species
UAAGCAUAUCAAUAAGCGGAGGAAAAGAAACCAACAGGGAUUGCCCUAGUAACGGCGAGUGAAGCGGCAACAGCUCAAAUUUGAAAUCUGGCCCGUCUCCGGGUCCGAGUUGUAAUUUGGAGAGGAUGCUUCGGGCAAGGCUGCGGUCCAAGUUCCUUGGAACAGGACGUCAGAGAGGGUGAGAAUCCCGUCUUCAACCGUAAGCCACGUCCAUGUGAAGCUCCUUCGACGAGUCGGGUUGUUUGGGAAUGCAGCUCAAAAUGGGUGGUAAAUUUCAUCUAAAGCUAAAUACCGGCCAGAGACCGAUAGCGCACAAGUAGAGUGAUCGAAAGAUGAAAAGCACUUUGAAAAGAGAGUUAAACAGCAUGUGAAAUUGUUGAAAGGGAAGCGCUUGCAGCCAGACUUGUGGGCGGUGAUUCAGCCGUUCUUCUGAACGGUGCACUUUGCCGUCUCCAGGCCAGCAUCGGUUCGGACAGCCAGUUAAAGGCCCGGGGAAUGUAUCAAUCCUUCGGGGUUGACUUAUAGCCCCGGGUGCCAUGUGGCUCGCCGGGACCGAGGAACGCGCAUCUGCACGGAUGCUGGCGUAAUGGCUGUCAGCGACCCGUCU